CUUUAAGUGGCGGACGGGGUGAGUAACGCGUGGGCAACCUGCCCCGUGCCGGGGGAUACCGCCUGGAAACAGGCGCUAAUACCGCAUAAGCGCAUACAGCCGCAUGGCAGUAUGCGGAAAGCUCCGGCGGCACGGGAUGGGCCCGCGCCCGAUUAGCCAGUUGGCGGGGUAACGGCCCACCAAAGCGACGAUCGGUAGCCGGCCUGAGAGGGCGGACGGCCACAUUGGGACUGAGACACGGCCCAAACUCCUACGGAAGGCAGCAG
rnacentral:rRNA from 1 species